GUUAUAGGGUCAAGCGAACAAGUGCAUGUGGUGGAUGCCUUGGCGAUCACAGGCGAUGAAGGACGCGGUAGCCUGCGAAAAGCGACGGGGAGCUGGCAAACGAGCUUUGAUCCGUCGAUGUCCGAAUGGGGAAACCCACCUCUUUUGAGGUAUCCGUGACUGAAUACAUAGGUCACGUGAAGCGAACGCGGUGAACUGAAACAUCUAAGUAACCGCAGGAAAAGAAAUCAACCGAGAUUCCCAGAGUAGUGGCGAGCGAAAUGGGACCAGCCUGUACUCUUUAUCUUCAUUGUUAGUCGAAGGCUCUGGAAAGUGCCGCCAUAGCAGGUGAUAGCCCUGUAGACGAAAACAGCGAGGAAGAACUGGGUGUACGACAAGUAGGGCGGGACACGUGAAAUCCUGUCUGAAGAUGGGGGGACCAUCCUCCAAGGCUAAAUACUCGUGAUCGACCGAUAGUGAACCAGUACCGUGAGGGAA
rnacentral:rRNA from 1 species